GGCCUGGAGUCACCUUUCACCCCGUUGGCGUGCACGCUCGCCCCGUUACUGACGUCGUCCCGCGGGAUCCUCUGCCUCAGCCCGGGGCAGCCGUGCGCGGACGCGCCGUCGUCGUUCGCUUUAUCCGGAAACGUCCCCCGGACGCCACACAAGUGCUGGAACUUGGCCACCAGACGCGGGUCCUGGAGAUAAUGACACGUCUCCACAAACCUCUUGAAGGCGUCUGUCGCCAUUGUGUCAAAAUAAUACUUUACGUGAGGUUAUUCCGCCGCGCUCAUGAUCUCCCCGUUAGUCGAAAGAAUAAUAAUUACGGGGCGUUUAACAGACUAUCUCGCCGCACUCACGCACAGCGACCUUGUCGACCGGAAGAUUUGGAGGAGCAGCAUACAAAGUCCGCCGGAGCACAGUGUUACAUCACGGAGUGCGGUCAGGUUGACGAAGGCUGCCGCUAACUGCGUCAAGUCGCCGCUCUCAGGCCGUUAUGUUUCCAGCGACAAGUCCAAUUCUUCUUCGCUGGCCCAAACCGGUUCUUCGCUGCACGCUCCAAUGUUUGUGUUGAGUGCUGAGCGCUAUCUGCUGGACAAGCUAAGCAUUGCAAGGUAAUAGGAGUGGACAUGAGAGAGGGUUUCGUGCAAACAUUGGCAAAUAACGGCCCGUUGAACGUUUUAAUUCAGCCUGCGGAACUUGUCCAAAUUAUUGAAAAAAACUCUUAUCAAUGUUAAGGCUUCUGCCUCCCGUAUGCGUUUUUAGCAAUUGCCUAUCAUUAAAGGCCUACUGAAAUAAAUGGGUUAAAUGGGUUGUACUUGUAUAGCGGUUUUCUACCUUCAAGGUUCUCAAAGCGCUUUGACACUACUUCCACAUUUACCCAUUCACACACACAUUCACACACUGAUGGAGGGAGCUGACAUGCAGGGCGCUAACCAGCACCCAUCAGGAGCAAGGGUGAAGUGUCUUGCUCAGGACACAACGGACAUGACGAGUUUGGUACUAGGUGGGGAUUGAACCAGGAACCCUCGGGUUGCGCACGGCCACUGCUCCACUGCGCCACGCCUUCUUAUGUAAACGGGGAUAGAAGUUCCAUUCUAUGUGUCUCACUUGAUCAUUUCGCGAUAUUGCCAUAUUUUUGCUGAAAGGAUUUAGUAGAGAACAUCCACGAUAAAGAUUGCAACUUUCGGUGUUAAGAGAAAAGCCCUGCCUUUACCGGAAGUCGCAGACGAUGACGGCACACGUGUGGGGGCUCCCCACAUCCUCACAUUGUUUUUAAUGGGAGCCUCCAACAAAAAGUGCUAUUCGGACCGAGAAAACGACAAUUUCCCCAUUAAUUUGAGCGAGGAUGAAAGAUUCGUGUUUGAGGAUAUUGAUAGCGACGGACUAGAAAAAAAACAAUGAUUAAAAAAAAAAGUUAAAAAAAAAAACGCGAUUGCAUUGGGACUGAUCCCGAUGUUUUUAGAGACAUUUACCAGGAUAAUUCUGGGAAAUCCCUUAUUUUUUUAUUGUGUUGCUAGUGUUUUAGUGAGUUAAAUAGUACCUGAUAGUCGGAAAGGUGUCUCCACGGGUGUCUUGACAUGCAGUGUCUCAGGGGAGUCGGCGGCAGGUAUGGACGGCACAAGCUCAGCUUUUCUCCGUCCAACCUGAGGACCCGCUGACAGCGCAUUCCAGACACGCCCCCGCACUCAUCAAGCGGACCGCGCCCACUCUCUGCCGCAGCCGGCCGCAUUACACACCUGUGACUGAUGACGAGGAGCUGCUUAAGUGACCAGUGGACCCAGUGAUCCUGGCGGGAACUUAGUUAUAUACUGACGUUCAUGCCCCCCGUUGCCUGGAAAGAGAGCUGUGCGUCUCUCUUCUACCACUGGACUUUGACUGCCUCCUUCUAUCCUCGAACCCCCCGCUUUGGACUCGGAUCUCUUGACGCCCCUCUCAGCCCCACGGACCCCCGCUUGUAUCCCGGAUCACCUGCUUGUUCCCUUGGACGUUCCUUCACUCUCGUUAACACGUUGGUAACACACACUCCAGUUAAUUUACACACAUAGCCUCACACCACAUACACUUUUGAAUCUAGUUCACAUUCCAUUC